AUUGAACGCUGGCGGCAGGCUUAACACAUGCAAGUCGAGCGAGCGGCGGACGGGUGAGUAAUGGCUGGGAAACUGCCUGAAGGAGGGGGAUAACUACUGGAAACGGUAGCUAAUACCUCAUACAGUCAGAUGUGUCCAGAUGGGAUUAGCUAGUUGGUGGGGUAAUGGCUCACCUAGGCGACGAUCCCUAGCUGGUCUGAGAGGAUGACCAGCCACACUGGAACUGAGACACGGUCCAGACUCCUACGGGAGGCAGCAGUGGGGAAUAUUGCGCAAUGGGCGAAAGCCUGAUGCAGCCAUGCCGCGUGUGUGAAGAAGGCCUUCGGGUUGUAAAGCACUGUCAGCGAGGAGGCGUUACUCACAGAAGAAGCACCGGCUAACUCCGUGCCAGCAGCCGCGGUAAUUC
rnacentral:rRNA from 1 species